rnacentral:rRNA from 1 species
CCUACGGGAGGCAGCAGUGAGGAAUAUUGGUCAAUGGACGAGAGUCUGAACCAGCCAAGUAGCGUGAAGGAUGACUGCCCUAUGGGUUGUAAACUUCUUUUAUAAAGGAAUAAAACGAGGCACGUGUGCCUUUUUGCAUGUACUUUAUGAAUAAGGAUCGGCUAACUCCGUGCCAGCAGCCGCGGUAAUACGGAGGAUCCGAGCGUUAUCCGGAUUUAUUGGGUUUAAAGGGAGCGUAGAUGGGUUGUUAAGUCAGUUGCGAAAGUUUGCGGCUCAACCAUAAAAUUGCAAUUGAUACUGGCAGUCUUGAGUACAGUUGAGGUAGGCGGAAUUCGUGGUGUAGCGGUGAAAUGCUUAGAUAUCACGAAGAACCCCGAUUGCGAAGGCAGCUUACUAAACUGUGACUGACAUUGAUGCUCGAAAGUGUGGGUAUCAAACAGGAUUAGAUACCCUUGUAGUC